GCUAGCUUGCCCGAGAGGUCCAAGGGGGGUGACUUAAGAUCACCUGCACGUAGUGCGCGUGGGUUCGAACCCCACAGCUAGCA
rfam:Selaginella moellendorffii unplaced genomic scaffold SELMOscaffold_79, whole genome shotgun sequence.